rnacentral:rRNA from 1 species
AGAGAGAGACAUGGCGCGCAUAUCAAUAAGCGGAGGAAAAGAAACUAACAAGGAUUCCCCUAGUAACGGCGAGUGAAGCGGGAAGAGCUCAAAUUUGAAAUCUUAAAGGGUUUCCCUUUACGAAUUGUAGUUUAAAGAAGUGUUUUCUGUUGAGGUUUUGGUAAAAGUUCUUUGGAAUAGGACAUCAUAGAGGGUGAGAAUCCCGUAUUUGACCUUUACUUUCAACUUUGUGAUACACUUUCAAAGAGUCGGAUUGUUUGGGAAUGCAGUCCAAAAUGGGUGGUAAAUUUCAUCUAAAGCUAAAUAUUGGCGAGAGACCGAUAGCGAACAAGUACCGUGAGGGAAAGAUGAAAAGAACUUUGAAAAGAGAGUUAAACAGUACGUGAAAUUGUCAAAAGGGAAGCGUUUGACACCAGUGUUGUUUUUCUGAAAAUCAAUUAAAGAACUGUUUAUGCUAAGCUGUUAGACUUUAUCAGCUAUCUGUUUAGUUUUGAGCUUUUCUUUAAUGCACUUUUCAGUUAACAAGUCAACAUCAAUUUCUUUUGCUGUAAAAAAGCUUGAGGAAGGUGGCUUGAGAUUCGUCUUAAGUGUUUAUAGCCUCUUGCCUAUGCAGUCGGAGAGAUUGAGGUCUGCAGCGUAGAUCCUUCGGGGCUAAAUGCAUUUGUGCUAAGUUAUAGCAUUUUAUAGACAACUUGUUGACUAUGAUUUGUCUUGUAGCUUACUCGCUUAUGUUAUUUUACCUACGCUUAGGAUGUUGACGCAUGAGAUAUACGC